CCCACCUGCGCCCAGCGCAUCCGUAGCCGUAGCAGCUGGCGCUGCCACAUCCGCUCUUCGUCCUGCUGGCUCUGCCUAUGGCAAAGAGCCUGCCAGUAUCGGAUGAAGAAGCCAGUGCUUCACACGCGGAGUUGCUGUGCUCGGUCAUGUAAGGAGAUCCUGCUCUUGGCAAUUACCAGUGUUAGUGAUACGAAGGAUCUUAUUUACACCUCCCUUUAUGCGGGUCUGUACAUGCAAACCUGGGACUUUGGCAUCGAAGCACAAGCCAUUUCCAAGAGUACUAGGAGUGUGCGUAAGCAAUAGGGUUGUUUUUUCAUUUAAAAAAUAAAUAAAUCGAGUUUUAGGGUUGACACAAA